AGACAUAGAGGAGGACGUAGUGGAAGAGGCCGUGCACGGAACAUUAUUUCCGAUGACAUAAGAGCAACUUUGGUGGACCAUGUCAUAAACCAUGGUCUGACUAUGAGGGAAGCUGGGCAGAGAGACCAAUCUAAUCUAAGCCGUUUCACAGUUUCAACCAUAAUAAGGACAUUCCGACUGGAAAACGGAAUGACUAGAAGACCUUCUGGGGGCGGACGCCAAUGCCUGUUCACCCAACAGCAGGAACUUACCAUUGUGGACCUGGUCAGAGCAAACAAUGCAAUCCGUCUUAACCACCUACAGCAACAAAUACUUGCAGAUAGAGAAGUAUUCAAUAACAUUGAGCGAAGCAUCUUGGAGAUGGAUGGAGCUGCAUAGCCUCAUGAAUUUAUUUACAUUGAUGAGGCUGGAUUCAACCUCAGCAAAACAAGACGACGGGGUCGUAACAUAAUUGGCCAAAGGGCAAUUGUGCAAGCCCCGGGGCAGCUUGGGGGAAAUAUCUCAUUGUGUGCUGCCAUAAGCCUCCAAGGGCUACUGCACCAUCAAGCAAAACUAGGUCCCUUCAAUACCGACCAUAUAAUAACAUUUCUGGAUGCACUUCACGAUGCAGCUGUACAGGACAGACCAGAGCAGCCCAGGUUUGUUGUUGUCUUGGAUAAUGUUAGUUUCCAUCGGGCUGCUCUGGUCCGCAACUGGUUCACCAACCAUCAUCAAUUUGAAGUCCUAUACUUCCCCCUUACAUACCAUUUCUAAACCCCAUAGAAGAGUUGUUUUCGGCUUGGAGAUGGCGCGUAUAUAACCGCCAACCUCAUGCUCGCAUGCCUCUUCUGCAGGCAAUGGAACAGGCCUAAGGAGACAUCGAGUUAGGGUCAAUCCGUGGAUGGAUUCGGCACACAAGGCAAUAUUUUACCCGAUGCUUAGCGGGAGAAAACAUUGCUUGGGAUGUUGAUGAAAUCCUAUGGCCAGACCCCAACAGACGGCAGGAUCCAUAAGCCCACCCACGCACAAUUGCCAUGUUGUUUUUUUUGUGUUUACAGUACAGUAGGGUUUAUUUUUGUUGUGUAAACUGUAUUUACUGCACUGUAAUGUACAGUACUGCAAUGUACAGCAUUUAGUAUUUGAUCUUUUGGUUGUGUUGAAAACGUGCCCUCUGUGGAACUGAA